UCUAAUGGUAAUAAUGGUAAUGGUAAUGCCAAUGCACCCCGACAAAACAAUAGAGAUGUAUUGCAAGAUAGGGUGAAUGGCAACUCCCUGUAUACACCAUUGUAUCCAGAUCACCACCGUGGCGGAAUCUCCCUCGAUAAUCAAAUGAUUAACUCUUAAGAUUCGCUGAGCAUACAUAAUCCCUGUCCAAGUAGCAUGAAACUCCGCUUCAGAAAUCAUAGGCUCGAAUAGUUAGAUCUCCCUGACCACCAUCAAUCUGG
rnacentral:lncRNA from 1 species